rnacentral:rRNA from 1 species
AUUGAACGCUGGCGGCAGGCCUAACACAUGCAAGUCGAGCGGCAGCGGGAAAGUAGCUUGCUACUUUUGCCGGCGAGCGGCGGACGGGUGAGGAAUGCCUGGGAAAUUACCCAGUCGAGGGGGAUAACAGUUGGAAACGACUGCUAACACCGCAUACGCCCUACGGGGAAAGCAGGGGACCUUAGGGCCUUGCGCGAUUGCAGAUGCCCAGGUGGGAUUAGCUAGUUGGUGAGGUAAUUGAUCACCAAGGCGGCGCUCCCUAGCUGGUCUGAGAGGAUGAUCAGCCACACUGGAACUGAGACGCUGUCCGGACUCCUACGGGAGGCAGCAGUGGGGAAUAUUGCACAAUGGGGGAAACCCUGAUGCAGCCAUGCCGCGUGUGUGAAGAAGGCCUUCGGGUUGUAAAGCACUUUCAGCGAGGAGGAAAGGUUGAUGCCUAAUACGUAUCAACUGUGACGUUACUCGCAGAAGAAGCACCGGCUAACUCCGUGCCAGCAGCCGCAGUAACAC